UGGGGCACGUUGUUCGGAAUAUUGGGGCGUAAGAGCUCGUAGGCGGUUUGUCGCGUCUGCUGUGAAAGCCCGGGGCUCAACCCCGGGUCUGCAGUGGGUACGGGCAGACUAGAGUGCAGUAGGGGAGACUGGAAUUCCUGGUGUAGCGGUGAAAUGCGCAGAUAUCAGGAGGAACACCGAUGGCGAAGGCAGGUCUCUGGGCUGUUACUGACGCUGAGGAGCGAAAGCAUGGGGAGCGAACAGGAUUAGAUACCCUGGUAGUCCAUGCCGUAAACGUUGGGCACUAGGUGUGGGGGACAUUCCACGUUUUCCGCGCCGUAGCUAACGCAUUAAGUGCCCCGCCUGGGGAGUACGGCCGCAAGGCUAAAACUCAAAGGAAUUGACGGGGGCCCGCACAAGCGGCGGAGCAUGCGGAUUAAUUCGAUGCAACGCGAAGAACCUUACCAAGGCUUGACAUUCACCGGACCGCCCCAGAGAUGGGGUUUCCCUUCGGGGCUGGUGGACAGGUGGUGCAUGGUUGUCGUCAGCUCGUGUCGUGAGAUGUUGGGUUAAGUCCCGCAACGAGCGCAACCCUCGUUCUAUGUUGCCAGCACGUGAUGGUGGGGACUCAUAGGAAAACUGCCCGGGGUCAACUCCGAAGAAAGGUGGGGAAUAACGUCAAAUCAUCAUGCCCCCUUAUGUCUUGGGCUUUCCCCCAUGC
rnacentral:rRNA from 1 species